UACAUGGGGUGCAAACGUUGCUCGGAAUCAUUGGGCGUAAAGCGCGCGUAGGCGGUUACUUAAGUUGGAUGUGAAAGCCCUCGGCUUAACUGAGGAAGUGCAUUCAAAACUGAGUAGCUAGAGUACGAAAGAGGGUCGCGGAAUUCCCGGUGUAGAGGUGAAAUUCGUAGAUAUCAGGAGGAACACCGGUGGCGAAGGCGGGUCUCUGGGCCGUAACUGACGCUGAGGAGCGGAAGCAUGGGGAGCGAACAGG
rnacentral:rRNA from 1 species